GACAGAGGGUGCCAACGUGGUUCGGAAUUACUGGGCGUAAAGCGCGUGUAGGCUGCUUGGCAAGUCGGGUGUGAAAGCCCUGGGCUCAACCCAGGAAGUGCACUCGAAACUUCCGAGCUCGAGUUCUGGAGAGGAUAGCGGAAUUCUCGGUGUAGAGGUGAAAUUCGUAGAUAUCGAGAGGAACACCGGUGGCGAAGGCGGCUAGCUGGACAGAAACUGACGCUGAGACGCGAAAGCGUGGGGAGCAAACAGG
rnacentral:rRNA from 1 species